rnacentral:lncRNA from 1 species
AGGCUCUUCUGAUUCACUGUGAUGACAGGAACAUUAAAUUCUUCUCUCACUUUCAGUUUUCUGGGCUGUUUGAGAAACCUCAGUUAUUGUUCAGAAAAUUGGGGCUCAGCAGACAAGGAGUGACUACAACAGAGGAACAUGCCAGCAGUGUCAUUCAAAAAGAAGGUUGUGAUGGAAGAUUUUAUUAUUAUAAAGUACUUGCCUCAGAGAUUUUUCUCAGCUCUCAAAGUUUCAGAAAAAGGGACUUAUGUUUGAGUUCAUCCAAGGUGAAACUCGGACCUGAACUAUUUGGUAAUGUCAAACCUGUGCCUGUGUUCGUUUCCGGCAUUAUUUUGGUUGAGCUGCCUCAGCUUUAUCUGUCAGCCUUUCCCGGCGUCAGUGAGAAAAACCCAGGGAAGCUGCAGGAACUGGAUGUGCCAUGUCUGUUUUCAGGUGAGAUGUGCAUGGAAAUAAGACUUUCUGAAAUACUGUAAAUGCUGGGUGCAACUUAUGCUGCCUUUUUUUCCCCCUGUGUUCAGUGGCCCAGCUGAUGAGGAUAGUAACUAAUCAAAUUCUUGCGUAAUUUGGAGUUGUAGUGUCUGCUGCAUCCUGAUAGGAGAGAAAGCAGAACUGUGUGUGUGGCUGGGAUAAGUUAUUAAUGAAGUGAUUACAGAAACAAUGUUUUUGUUCUGCUUUGUGCCUCAUGAAAGCUGCUAGCUUCCCUGUGGCAGGAGGAGGAGGAAAGCAAUAUUUUCAUUAGUAGCUGCCAGCAUGCCAAAGUGCUCCUUGGGUAUUGCAAAGCAGAACAGUAUGAGUUGCAGCAGAGAUAAGGGAUGGUAGAAACCACACAAGUCUGCUCUGUGCUUCUCUAGAUACCAUCACAGUGUGCUAUGAAUAAAUUAGGGUAGCAGCACCUGUUUGCCAUGUAUGUGAACUGCUACAACCUUGAAGGUAAGAAAAAAAUGCUGCUGUUCUGAGUAUGACAACACUUUUUUGUCUAGGUGCUGAUAUAAUAAA